rnacentral:lncRNA from 1 species
ACCUCCUCCCCCUCCAUUGUUGCAGCCACCAAAACCCUAGCCGUCCCCCCCAAUCCCCUCCUCCCUAGGUGCUACUCCGUGUCGCUCGGAUCAUCGUCUUUUGGUGUGAAUCUCCAAUCGUUUUGGUGGAAGGAAGAAGGGAGGAAGGAAAAGGGGAGAACCCAAGGUGAUUUUUCUUUUGUGUUCAUCCCUUGUUCAUUUGCGCUGCGAUUCAAUUGAUUAGAUGUUGCGUUUGCGAUUAGAUAGAGGGGGGCUGUCCAGAAUUUUGCGUGGUGGAUGAACAGCGGUAGUUCCAGCAGUUUUUAGGUUUUUUUCGUGAAGAUUUAAUGGGGAUCAAUUUGGGAAUCUUGUAGAACUUUGUUUUAUCUUUCCAACGAGUAUUUAUGCGCUCAAUUUGGAGUUAUAAAUUAAAAGUUAUCAUCGUUUGAAUCCGGGUAUGUGGCUGUCCAGAAAACAGAUUUUUCAGAGUGAUGAACAGCAGCAGUGUUAGCAGUUUCUGGGGAUUUUUCGGGAGCAAUUAGUGUUAAUCAGUAUGAGAAUCUUGUAGAACUUUGUUUUAUCUUUCCAACGAGUAUUUAUGCGCUCAAUUUGGAGUUAUAAAUUAAAAGUUAUCAUCGUUUGAAUCCGGGUAUGUGGCUGUCCAGAAAACAGAUUUUUCAGAGUGAUGAACAGCAGCAGUGUUAGCAGUUUCUGGGGAUGUUUCGGGAGUAAUUAGUGUUAAUCAGUAUGAGAAUCAUGUAGGGCUUUUUCUUAUCUUUCCAACAAGUACUUAUGCGCUCAAAUCGGAAUUAUAUUUUAAAAGUUAUCGCUGUUUGAAUCCGCGUAUGUCGCUGCUCAAAUCAGAAAAAAACAGAUUGCAGGGUUUGUUUUGAGGACCGUUUAGAGGUAUGUAGAUGUUAGAUUUCAAUCAUGAGUUGUAUACAAAACUUGUGGGGAAUUUUAUGAAGUUGUCUCUGAAGUUUUUGUUUAUCAUCACUGCUGUCCUAAAUUUUAAGUUAUGGAAUUGUUAAGCAGCGCCGCUGCAGUUUGGUUAGUGAGGGGAGAAUUGUUACCGCGGCGGGGUUUGAGAUUGCGCGUAGGUGCGGUGUUGUCUUUGAGUUUUUAUCAUGAGAAUUUGGUGCACUAAGUUGGGUGUCAAAAACAGGUGGUGGACUUCCGGAUCGUUCUUAGGGAUUUUGCCCGAACUUCGGUAAAGGCAAGUAAAACAGUGAUGGUUAUUCCGUCUUUUGAUUGAAGAGUCUUAUACUUGAUUAUGUUUGUGCUAUUUGUGUUCGUAUCCAUACUCCUAAUUGGGUACCAUCGUUUGAAAUUAUUCAUGCUUUAUUGAUUAUACAUGUGGAGGGUGUGGUUUGAUCAUGUUACCCAUGUGGUUAUUGAUGUGAAAUGGGUGGAAGUAUAUGUCUAGCACAUCUUAUUUGGGAAGAACUCAUGUUGUUGACAUGCAUAAUGCAUUCAUCAUCCAUUGCAUUGAAGUUUCGUCGCGAUGUUAUGGUCCGACCGUACCGGUACAAUGAGUAUCAUAUGUUUUCCCGAGAAGGGGUAUGAUGCAGCUUCAUAUCCUUAGAGGUAUGAAGGCAGAAGUCAUGUUGCAUCUGUAGCCAUGUGCAUUCAUGGGUGAAGUGUGGAACCUAUUUUGGUGAUGUGGAUAAGGUGGAUCUUUACUUUGUAAUUCAUCUUGGCAUUGAGUAAUUGAUUACUUGCUUACUUGCUGCAAAUUAAUAUUUAAGGAAGAAGUUGGGAACCAUGUGGUUGCUUAUGCACGGUUGGCUUGCAUUGUCCAACUGUUGUUUGUUUUUUUUUACUUGCUGAGAUGUGUCAUCUCACUCUUGCAUUGUCUGAUGCAGGCACCUGAUCUUUGCUUUGGGAAGGAAGGGAUGUAGCAGCACGGCCACCACACUUUUAAAUAAAGGAAUAACUGAUUAAUAAUGAUGUUAAACAGGAAGAGUCAAGUCUAGGGAAUUAUUACAUUCUAAUCUUUCAUGGUAGCUGAACUGUUU